GGAUUAGAUACCCUGGUAGUCCACGCCGUAAACGCUGUCUACUAGCUGUAUGAGACUUUACGUUUUGUGUAGCGAAGCUAACGCGCUAAGUAGACCGCCUGGGGAGUACGGCCGCAAGGUUAAAACUCAAAUGAAUUGACGGGGGCCCGCACAAGCGGUGGAGCAUGUGGUUUAAUUCGAUGCAACGCGAAGAACCUUACCAUCCCUUGACAUCCCAAGAACUUUCCAGAGAUGGAUUGGUGCCUUCGGGAACUUGGAGACAGGUGCUGCAUGGCUGUCGUCAGCUCGUGCCG
rnacentral:rRNA from 1 species